UGCACAUGAAAAUGGAGGCAA
rnacentral:piRNA from 1 species